GACGGAGGAGCAAACAGCCUCCCACUAAUCACGCUGCUCUGUUCACGUCGUUGGAACAAAAAGAAAGAUCGCGCCGGCUGGUUCGUUCGUUCCUGCGUCCGUGCACUUGCUAGCGAUUUCCCAUUGGAGGGAGCGGUAGUACCGUAGUACAAGGAGGAUCGCCGCUUUGAUCCGUACGGACGGUGGAGACGGGUUGGUGAGCAGCAGCAUGUGGCAUGGCGGAAGAAAAUGGUCGCAUGCUUCGGAGCGAACGACCCUGUCUAUCGUAUGACAUGUGUAUUCGUGAAUCUUCAAGCGGCGAGUGUAUCUGCCCGCCGCCGGUGCUGGCUUAGUCGCCUCGGCUGCUCCAUCUCAUGCCACCCAUGUCCGGCGAGCUCGCAGUUGAACGCCCCUCGCAUCCCUGGUACGGCGAGGGGAAGAUGAGAAGCAGGAGCCAGCAGAGAAGCUACUCCGUCGAGCCAGCGGCGGGAUCACGGGGAGCCAUCUCCGGCGGCGGCGGAGCUCUAGGGCUGAUGGUUGCCAUGGAAAACGUCGUGAGUCUGCGGCUACUUCUCGAUGUUGGGUCAACCUGGUCUUCGAAUGGUUUUCAGCAUGCAUAUAGCGGCACAGCUUGCAUGCAACGGUAGUAGUAGUUAUUACUUAGCUAUGAAGUGAUAGAAGGUAGUAGUAGCUGCAUGUCGGCAGUAGUAAUUUCCUGAGCAGUAGUAGCUAAGCUUUACAACCUAAGUCAUGAUGUCAUUUAGGCAUUGGACGUCAGCACAUGCGUUCUAUAGUCGGUUUGUAAUCCCCUAUAAAAGGAGCACUACUCCAUCGAUAUAAGAUCAUUCCA